GUAUCCUGGCUCAGGAUGAACGCUGGCGGCACGCCUAACACAUGCAAGUCGAACGAAGUUAUUUUGAUCGAAGUUUUCGGAUGGACAUUGACUUAACUUAGUGGCGGACGGGUGAGUAACACGUGAGCAAUCUGCCUUUCAGAGUGGGAUACCGUUUGGAAACGAACGUUAAUACCGCAUAACGCAGCGAGGCCGCAUGACCUUGCUGCCAAAGAUUUAUCGCUGAAAGAUGAGCUCGCGUCUGAUUAGAUAGUUGGUGAGGUAACGGCUCACCAAGUCGACGAUCAGUAGCCGGACUGAGAGGUUGAACGGCCACAUUGGGACUGAGACACGGCCCAGACUCCUACGGGAGGCAGCAGUGGGGAAUAUUGCACAAUGGAGGAAACUCUGAUGCAGCGAUGCCGCGUGAGGGAAGAAGGUUUUCGGAUUGUAAACCUCUGUCUUUGGGGACGAUAAUGACGGUACCCAAGGAGGAAGCUCCGGCUAACUACGUGCCAGCAGCCGCGGUAA
rnacentral:rRNA from 1 species